rnacentral:lncRNA from 1 species
CAUAUAGGAAACUUGACCUCCAAGUUUUCUAAGAACACUAUUCACUCCAGGCAGUUCCAAAUCUGAUAUCUUUCGCCGGAACUCCCUGAACAUCCGUUUUAGCUCAAAUUUGACAGUUAUGUUCGGUUUUACUUAACGAGUCCAAAGAAAUUUUAAUAUUUCAGUUUCGACCCCGUUUGGUCACUGAAAACUGUACCGAACUGUAAUCUUUAUCAGAUAACUGUCGGAUUUUAUUUCUCACUCUACGGGUGUCAGAAAAAUAUGAAACCUUAAAUCUAGCCUCAUAAAAAUAUUUCUGACAUCUCUGCCAAUUUUCAUAAUUUUCUGAGACUGUGCAUUUUCUGCUAAUUUGUCUGGUACCUUACAUUCUCCCCUCCUUAAAAGAGUUUCGUCCUCGAAACUAACUCAUUUCUAAUCCAACUCAUACCUCAAAUCUACUUAUCAAAU